GUGAAAGCAGGUGCAAGUCAGAAGCAGCAGAACAAGGGUAUACUUGUUGGAAAGUGAAACUUCGGUCCAGUUUGAAGUCCAGAGCACUCUGGUUACAACUUCGUAGCCUUCAACGACUUUGCCGAACACCAUGUGCUUUCCGCAGCCAUUCAGUUUUAGCAGUGCAGACGAAGAACUGGGAACCAUUUGUGAGUGACAAUUACAGAUGCAGCCACCGAUCCUACUAGUUGUUCUGCAUUAUUUCCUGUAAAGUCUUCAAGAUUCAUUGGUACUGCUGAUGUAGUACAUGGAUGCAUUUUAACAUCUAGCCAUCUCUACUCUUUUU